AUUGAACGCUGGCGGCAUGCUUUACACAUGCAAGUCGAACGGCAGCGCGGGCUUCGGCCUGGCGGCGAGUGGCGAACGGGUGAGUAAUGCAUCGGAACGUGCCCAGUAGUUGGGGAUAGCCCGGCGAAAGCCGGAUUAAUACCGCAUACGACCUGAGGGUGAACGCGGGGGACCGAAAGGCCUCGCGCUAUUGGAGCGUCCGAUGUCGGAUUAGCUAGUUGGUGGGGUAAAGGCUUACCAAGGCGACGAUCCGUAGCUGGUCUGAGAGGACGACCAGCCACACUGGGACUGAGACACGGCCCAGACUCCUACGGGAGGCAGCAGUGGGGAAUUUUGGACAAUGGGGGCAACCCUGAUCCAGCCAUGCCGCGUGCGGGAAGAAGGCCUUCGGGUUGUAAACCGCUUUUGUUCGGGAAGAAAUCCUCUGGGCUAAUACCCCGGGGGGAUGACGGUACCGGAAGAAUAAGCACCGGCUAACUACGUG
rnacentral:rRNA from 1 species